UUCCACACAGGAAGGUCACACCAUCCCCCACCAUCAUCAGGGUGAAAAGCUAAAAGGCAUUAAAGUUGAAGUUAAAGAGGAAGAAGAAGAGACGUUGGUGAGUGGAGAUCAGCAGUCAAUGGAGGAGGGUUGCCCUCUGUAUUCCCAGAAUUUUACAUGGGAAGGUCACCACUAUACAGAGAAUGAUCAGAAUGAAGAACGGAAAGACAUCAAAGUUGAGGGUAAAAAGG